UGCCAAUGAUGAAUGAUUUAGUGAAUAGUAAUGGAUGAUAUUCAUGAUUACGAAAUCACUACUGCCUUCCUUCUGAGGCC
rfam:Vigna angularis cultivar Jingnong 6 scaffold301_25, whole genome shotgun sequence.